UACGGGGGGGGGUAAGCGUUGUUCGGAAUUACUGGGCGUAAAGGGCUCGUAGGCGGCCAACUAAGUCGGACGUGAAAUCCCUCAGCUUAACUGGGGAACUGCGUCCGAUACUGGAUGGCUUGGAUUUGGGAGAGGGAUGCGGAAUCCAGGUGUAGCGGUGAAAUGCGUAGAUAUCUGGAGGAACACCGGUGGCGAAGGCGACGUCCUGGACCGGCAUUGACGCUGAGGCGCGAAAGCCAGGGGGGAGCAAACGGG
rnacentral:rRNA from 1 species